AGAGUUUGAUCCUGGCUCAGGACGAACGCUGGCGGUGUGCUUCACACAUGCAAGUCGAGCGAAUGAAGUAGGUAGCUUGCUACUUAUGGAUUUAGCGGCGGACGGGUGAGUAAUAUAUAGGAAUCUGCCUUAGAGCGGGGAACAACAGACCGAAAGGUUUGCUAAUGCCCCAUAGGUAUGCAGUCUUCGGAUUGUAUAUUAAAGGAGUAAUCCACUCUAAGAUGAGCCUGUAUCCGAUUAGCUAGUUGGCGGGGUAAAGGCCCACCAAGGCUACGAUCGGUAGUUGGUCUGAGAGGAUGAUCAGCCACAAUGGGACUGAGACACGGCCCAUACUCCUACGGGAGGCAGCAGUGGGGAAUUUUACACAAUGGGGGAAACCCUGAUGUAGCGACACCGCGUGAACGAAGAAGCCUUUUGGGGUGUAAAGUUCUGUCGGCUGGAACGAAAAAAAUGACGGUACCAGCAAAGGAAGCAUCGGCUAACUACGUGCCAGCAGCCGCGGUAAGACGUAGGAUGCAAGCGUUGUCCGGAUUUAUUGGGCGUAAAGAGUUCGUAGGCGGUUAUUUAAGUCUGGUGUUAAAUACUGUGGCCCAACCACAGAACUGCAUUGGAUACUGGAUGACUUGAGUGCGGUAGAGGCGAGUGGAAUUCCCAGUGUAGCGGUGAAAUGCGUAGA
rnacentral:rRNA from 1 species